rnacentral:rRNA from 1 species
UGGGGAAUAUUGCACAAUGGGCGCAAGCCUGAUGCAGCCAUGCCGCGUGUGUGAAGAAGGCCUUCGGGUUGUAAAGCACUUUCAGCGGGGAGGAAGGCGAUAAGGUUAAUAACCUUGUCGAUUGACGUUACCCGCAGAAGAAGCACCGGCUAACUCCGUGCCAGCAGCCGCGGUAAUACGGAGGGUGCAAGCGUUAAUCGGAAUUACUGGGCGUAAAGCGCACGCAGGCGGUCUGUCAAGUCGGAUGUGAAAUCCCCGGGCUUAACCUGGGAACUGCAUUCGAAACUGGCAGGCUAGAGUCUUGUAGAGGGGGGUAGAAUUCCAGGUGUAGCGGUGAGAUGCGUAGAGAUCUGGGGGAAUACCGGUGGCGAAGGCGGCCCCCUGGACAAAGACUGACGCUCAGGUGCGAAAGCGUGGGGAGCAAACAGG